AGAGUUUGAUCAUGGCUCAGAUUGAACGCUGGCGGCAUGCCUUACACAUGCAAGUCGAACGCGAAAGGGGGGCAACCCCCAAGUAGAGUGGCGAACGGGUGAGUAACACAUCGGAACGUGCCCAGUAGUGGGGGACAACCUCGAGAAAUCGAGGCUAAUACCGCAUACGACCCACGGGUGAAAGCGGGGGACCGCAAGGCCUCGCGCUAUUGGAGCGGCCGAUGUCCGAUUAGCUAGUUGGCGGGGUAAGAGCCCACCAAGGCGACGAUCGGUAGCUGGUCUGAGAGGACGACCAGCCACACUGGGACUGAGACACGGCCCAGACUCCUACGGGAGGCAGCAGUGGGGAAUUUUGGACAAUGGGCGCAAGCCUGAUCCAGCCAUGCCGCGUGCGGGAAGAAGGCCUUCGGGUUGUAAACCGCUUUCGGCCGGAACGAAAUCGCCCGGGUGAACAUCCCGGGUGGAUGACGGUACCGGAAGAAGAAGCACCGGCUAACUACGUGCCAGCAGCCGCGGUAAUACGUAGGGUGCGAGCGUUAAUCGGAAUUACUGGGCGUAAAGCGUGCGCAGGCGGUCUCGUAAGACAGGUGUGAAAUCCCCGGGCUCAACCUGGGAACUGCGCUUGUGACUGCGAGGCUGGAGUGUGGCAGAGGGAGGUGGAAUUCCACGUGUAGCAGUGAAAUGCGUAGAGAUGUGGAGG
rnacentral:rRNA from 1 species